GGACAGGGCUGUGCCACUGAGACUCUGGAGCCUGCAGGGUAAAGGCUGCCCAGAGCUAAUUCCUGCUUCUGGCCUUCCUGGGUCCCAGAGGCCUUAGUCCUGACCACACAAUGGAGAAGCCCCUGCAGGCUCUCAAGAGGAAGCCUUGGAACUGGGUUUCCUAUUAACUCCCUCAGGCCUGCCGUAACAAGGGGCUACAAGCUGUGUAUCUUAAAUGACAGACAUGUAUUGCCUCACUGUUCUGGAGGUCUGAAACGCAAUCUGUCAAAAUCGAGUCCCAAAUCAAGGUGUUUGCAAGGUUGGUUGCCUCUGCGGGCAGUGUGGGAGCAUCCGUGUCCUGUAUCUCUCCGAGAUCCUGGUGGUCUGAGGCCAUCUUUGGCAUUCCUUGGCUUGUAGCUGCCUCACUGCCGUCGUCCUGUGACAUGCCCUUGUGUCCCUGUCUUCACAGGGCCGUCUUUUUAUAAGAACCAGUCAUAUUGGAUGAGGGCCCAGCCCCCACUCCAGUAUGACCUCAUCUUAACCGAUUACAUCUGCAAUGACCCCAUUUCCAAAUAAGGUCACACAGUGAGGCUCUGGGGGUUAGCAUUUCAAUCUAUGAAUUUUUGAGUGGAUGGCCUUCAUCCCAUAAUAGGACUGGAGGGCAGAAGCUUUGGACCAGUUAAGCGUCAUCCCCAUGUAUUAUGGUAAAAGCCAAGACAAGAGAGCCUGGAGGUAUCCCAUUUGGGAAAAGGCACCACAGUCGGAAGACUUCUACCCACAGCAGAGGUACAGAGUGACAAAAAGGCGCUCAACUCGAUGUCAGAAUCCCCACGUUCCAACCCCAGUUCUGCCAUCAGAUCCAGGGCAAUUACUUGACUGCCAUGAUUCUCCGGUAAAAGGUUGAGCAUGACCCUGCCCUACCCUCGGAUUUUUGUAGGCAACAGUAUCAUGUGGUGAGCUGAGGUGAGUUUGGGGGAUAGGUUGAGAACAAUGAUACAGCUGAUAUCUUCCAAGAGACUCUGUCCCACAUUUCUUCUGUUUACGUGGCAGCAGAGACCCAAAGCUCCCUGAAUUUGCAGUGACAUUGCUUCCCAUAUGUAGGUUCUCAGGUUUCAGUGUAAGGGGAAGACCAGGGAACAGGCUGAAGAGAAGUGCCCUGUGCUCCAGACCUGGGAAAACAAGAAUUUCCCCAUUCCAGGCUUCUGCCAUGUGUGUGGGGAAAGCAUGACGGCUUCCUAAGGUACUUGUUCUCUCCUGUUCUAGAAACGGAUCUCACCUCCAAGAGAAAAGUGGAUCAAUAGAGCCGUGGGUGUAGCAUCAGUCUUCCCUUGAGUAAAAUUGUUCACUCACAGUGUGAAAGUUCUGUUGCUGCCGUAGGAUCCUAGAGUGGCAUCCUCUGGGGUUUGGUUUGAUCAUUUAGGAGGGGCGGAAAAAAGCCCUGUUACCUACACAAGACGGUAAGAAGUCUCAUGGAUUCCCAAAAUGCAGACUGGGCACAAGCCUGGCCAAUGGCUGGGGUCAAAUCUGAGACCCUGGGAUUAGAAAUCAUGUGAGUUCCCUCUUUUCCUACCAGCUGGGGACCCUGAAAUAAACCUAUUUUGGCAAAGUAUAGGCCCUGGAUU
rnacentral:lncRNA from 1 species